GGCAUCAUGGCCGAGUGGUCUAAGGCGGUAGUUUUAAGUCACGUUAUAUGUGGAUACACUACUGGGGCAACCCGCGUGAGUUCGAACCUCACUGAUGUCA